AGCUUUGCGCAGUGGCAGUAUCGUAGCCAAAGUAGCCAAUGAGGUUUAUCCGAGGCGUGAUUAUUGCUAAUUGAAACAAAAGGGGAUCUGAGCUGAUACUAGAGAUACUAGAAACAUUUGUGGAAUUCAUGGACUACGUUACUGC
rfam:Mustela putorius furo unplaced genomic scaffold scaffold00023, whole genome shotgun sequence.